rnacentral:lncRNA from 1 species
UUAUCAGAUGCAUAAGGGGAAAUAACUCUCAUAUGGAGCGGUCAUAUCGCUUCUGUCAAAAUAGGACAAAUCAUGCGAAGGAUAUAACGAGCAAUUUUGUAAAACAAAUUUGUCAUAAUCUUUUACUGUUGCGAAGGAGAUGCGCUAACAAGGAAAACAGUGUUUGGGGAGAUAACUCCUACAAAGAAAAGUAUUCGUUUACGCAGGUUAAAUUUCAAAAGCGCAUAAACUGUUCGAUAUCAUAUACCAAAUAUCUAAGCGACAUAUUGCGAAACAAAUGUUUAUCGCAAGAACAAAAUUAGGCGGAAGAAAAAAAAAAAAUAAUCAGAAGAAAAACAAUAGGUCUUUCCACAGAAAAGUGGAAAGACCUAAUAAUAAUCAGAAGAAAUACAGUAAGGUCUUUCCUUAUAGAAAAAGGAAAGACCUUAAAAAAUAA